rnacentral:snRNA from 1 species
AAUGCAUCUACAUUCAACACUCCUCUUUUAACAAUACAGAGAAGGUCGCCAUGGCCCUUGCGCAAGGAUGACAUGCAAAUUUGUAAAGCGUUCCUCAUUUAA